UGCUGAGAUGGAUUCGUGUCCCAUGCUGCUAUACUUGGCCACAGGGGAUGCUAUCUCAAGUAGAAAACUGGUGCACUGAUGCCUCAUGUCUUCAUUUAACAUGAGGGCUCUUCUAGAGACUUCAUCUGCAGGAAGGCCCAGUGGUGGGGGCUGCUCCGUGCUAGGUCUCGGCAGCUGGUGAUUAAUUCCAAGGUCGACUUACAAUGUUUAUGUGUGCGGAUAUAAAUGGAGGUGAGUGUGGGUGUGAGCAAUGGAACUAGAAAGACCACAAGGGGAGGAAAUGGAAGGUGGGAAGGACAGCAAGACACAGUCAACACAGAAGUGGAGGCUAUGAUCAGUGGUGGGUGUAUAAAUAAUUCAGGAAAAUGGGGGAGACAUGAGAAGAAGAAGCAACAAAAACAAAUUGUGUUAGAAAAUGUCAUAAUAGGGCAGAUGAAAUGACUCCACUGGUAAAGUUAUCUUGACCUCCACACAUGUGUAUACACACACACACACACACACACACA
rnacentral:lncRNA from 1 species